AUCGCUUCUCGGCUAUUAUUAGCUAAGAUCAAAGUGUAGUAUCUGUUCUUAUCAGCUUAAUAUCUG
rnacentral:snRNA from 1 species